UACGUAGGGGGCAAGCGUUGUCCGGAUUUACUGGGCGUAAAGGGCGUGCAGGCGGUCUGUUAAGUUCAGGGUGAAAGCUCCCGGCUCAACUGGGAGAGGUCCUUGGAUACUGGCAGACUUGAGGAGGGUAGAGGAGAGUGGAAUUCCCGGUGUAGUGGUGAUAUGCGUAGAUAUCGGGAGGAACACCAGUGGCGAAGGCGGCUCUCUGGGCCCUACCUGACGCUGAGACGCGAAAGCGUGGGGAGCAAACAGG
rnacentral:rRNA from 1 species